GUCCCUGUAGCGCAAUGGGUAGCGAGUUGGAUUUCUAAUCCAAAAGUCGUGGGUUGGAAUCGCACCUGGGAUG